CUCCACACAAUCUGUAAAACUCCAAUAUAAUCCCAGUAUAACAAAAGUAUCUUCUCUCAAUAACAAACUCGAAUCCAACUCUCGAAAUACAAGUGUUUUCCUGAGAAAGCUACGAUCUCAUAACGAUCGUAGGGAAGGUCUCAUCACGACUCUUCACAACAAACUCAGCAUAAAAGAAAAUAUGAUCGCAACAACAAUCCUUUAUUUAACUUGAAAAACAAUCCUUCAGCAAAGCCUCUGUCUCACUCCGCGGCUUUGCUUCCUCUCUGUUUCUCCAAACCUUCUACUUCUCCUCGAAUCUCUGAACUCUGUAAUUCUUCCUUCUCGCCCACGUCUACUUCCUCUCCAUUUCCCUCCCAUUUCUUCUUCUCCUGAUUCUUCUUCCUGAAAUACACUCUUUGGAACGUAUCAAUACCCCGCCCAACGAGACGAAGCUUGUCCUCAAGCGGAAACGACGGAAACUGCCUGGCAAACUCCCAACCCAACACCCACGACGCCUCAUGAGCUGGUAAGCUUUCCCACUGCACAAGUAACUCCAAGUACCCAUCCGGUGUGUAACGAGUCUCCAAUAACUGUGCCGGAACCAAAACGAACUCCCCCUGAUCAGAAAAAGUAGUAGGCAACGCUGUGACCUGCUCAGCAGACCCCACGACAGGUUUCAAUUGAGAAACGUGAAACACCGGGUGAAUCUUUGAUCCCACAGGUAACUGAAGCCUAUAUGCCACCUUACCCACACGCUCCAGCACCUCAAAAGGGCCAUAGAACUUCGCAGAGAGCUUCUGACAAAUACGCCGAGUAACAGAGUGUUGACGAUAUGGCCGAAGCUUCAGAAACACUCGAUCACCCACUGCGAAUUCCAAGUCCCUUCGGUGCUUAUCAGCAGCACGCUUCAUCUGCCCCUGAGCCUUUUCCAAGAACAACUUCAACUGUCCCAACAUUCGAUCACGUUCCACCAACAUCGACUCGAGAUCAAAGUUGGAAGUAGACCCCUCUUCAUAAUGCAGCAGCGGCGGAGGAUCACGUCCGUAGACGACUUUGAAAGGCGUGGUGUGAAUCGAUGAAUGAUAGCCCGUGUUGUACCAAUACUCAGCCCAGCUCAGAAACUUAUACCAUGUCUUGGGAUGAGCCGACGCAAAGCAACGUAGGUAAGAUUCUAAGCUGCGAUUCAGAACCUCUGUUUGUCCGUCUGUUUGAGGAUGGAAUGCAGUGCUAUACUUCAGCUUAGUCCCAGAUUGACGAAAACUCUCCUUCCAAAAAGAACUCAAGAAGACCUUAUCGCGAUCUGAGACAAUGGAAGAGGGAAACCCGUGUAAUUUCACCACCUCAGUAACGAAUUUCGACGCCACAUCCACAGCAGAGUACGGGUGUUUCAACCCAAAGAAGUGGCCGUACUUGCUGAGACGAUCCACCACCACAAAGAUAACGCUAAAUCCUCCUGAAGCUGGUAAUCCGUCAAUAAAAUCCAUACUGAUGUCUUGCCAGACUUGUGAAGGAAUGGGAAGAGGUUGGAGAAGACCGGCAGGAGAUAAUGUGGAUGUCUUAUGAGUUUGACAAACCACACAGCUAGCGACAUAGUCCUGUACCGUCACUCGCAUACCCUUCCAAUGAAACGACUGUUGAAUUCGCUUCAGCGUUUUGAGAACUCCAGAGUGACCACCCGUGAGGCUGUCGUGACACUCUUGAAGAAGCAACGGAAUAAAACGUGAAGUGUGUGGAAUGAACAACCGCUUCUUAUACCAUAGCUUGCCAUCAACGACAGAGAACCCCUUCUUCACCGGUUCUCCGGCUAGUACCCGUUGUCUAAGGGCCCUAAUGUCAUCAGAAGACUCAAUCUCUGCAUAGAUAUCUUGUAACUGAAUGACAUGAGGAACAAUUAGAGCCAACAGGGACGAGCUAGUCUCCACGACAGAGUCCUGCAUCUGUCGAGAAAGACCAUCAGCAGCUUUGUUUUCAAUUCCAGGUUUGUACACAAUGUCAAACUGGAACCCCAUCAGACGCACCAACCAACGCUGGUACUCCAUUGAGACCUCACGUUGCUCCAAAAGGAACUUCAAGCUCUUCUGGUCGGUGUGCACAAUGAAGCGACGCCCCAUCAAGUAGUGCUUCCACUUCAAAAUGGCAAGCACAAUUGCCAUUAACUCUCGUUCAUAGAUAGGUUUAAGCUUCUCUCGUGGUGUGAGACUGUGACUGAAAUAAGCAAUGGGCCUGCCUCUUUGCAUCAGCACCGCGCCCAAGCCAAUUCCUGAAGCAUCAGUCUCCACAAUGAAGGGUUCGUUGAAAUCAGGAAGCGCCAACACUGGAGCUUCAGACAUGACGACCUUGAGUUGAUCGAAUGCCUGUUGAGCUUCAGGAGACCAACAGAAGCUAUCCUUACGCAACAAAUCAGUCAGCACCUUAGCCAAUAACCCAUAAUGUUUGACAAAGCGGCGAUAAUACCCCGUGAGCCCCAAGAAUCCCCUCAAGUCUUUGAUAGUACGCGGAGUAGGCCACUUUUGCAUGGCUGCUGUCUUGGCCGGAUCAGUCGCCACGCCCUGAGCCGAAAUGAUAUGACCCAAAUACUCUACUUGCGGCUGUGCAAACACACAUUUCUUCCGGUUAGCAAACAGAUUCUGAUCCUUCAACACUUGUAACACCUCACGCAAAUGCUCCACAUGGUCAGCUUCGUUCUUGCUGUAAACAAGAAUGUCAUCAAAGAAGACCAAGACGAAACGCCGCAAGAACGGUCGAAAGAUAUCGUUCAUCAGUCCUUGAAACGUCGCAGGAGCAUUAGUGAGCCCAAAAGGCAUCACCAAAAACUCAUAGUGGCCCUCGUGUGUGCGAAACGCCGUCUUGUCAAUGUCACACUCCUUCAUCCGUAUCUGGUGAUAACCUGAACGAAGAUCCAGCUUAGAGAAUACAGUAGCCCCAAAGAGUUCAUCCAACAACUGGUCAAUCAUAGGGAUCGGAUACUUAUCUGGAAUAGUAGCCCGAUUCAGCGCCCUAUAGUCAACACAGAAUCGAUGAGUACCAUCCUUCUUGCGUACCAAGAGCACCGGACUCGAGAAAGGACUGCAGCUUGGCCUGAUUAUCCCGGUUUUGAGCAUAUCUGUGACCAUGGCUUCCAUAACCUCUUUGCUCGCGUGGGGAUAACGGUACGGACGGACUGAGAUCGAUGUAACUCCCGGUAACAAAUGGAUGGCAUGCUCACGGCCACGAACUGGAGGUAACUCCGUAGGCAACGCAAAGACCUCAGGAAACUGAGCCAACAAGGCCUCAAUAGACGGAGGCAUCUGUUCAGUAACUGGCUCCACAGCUCCCAGCUCCAAUACAUCUUCAAAAUUAGGCAAAUGUAAAGCGCGCAGAGCAACAGCAUUACAAUGCAGAGAAGGAUCCCCUCGCAAUGUGAAUGUUUGCCCCCCGACUUUGAACGACAUCUCGUGUGAUUCCCAAUUCAUCAGACAAGUUCCCAAAGUGCGCAACCAACUAAUGCCCAAUAUCACAUCAACCCCUCCCAAUUCAAGCGCAACAAAGUCUCCCUCAAAUGUCGCUUCCUGUAACUGAAACGUCACACGACGACAAACUCCCACAGACUCCACUGUCACGCCAGUGCCCAACAAUACUUGAAACUUCCGGUCAGUGUACACAUGUAGCUUGGCCUUUUGCACAACGUGCGGUGCCACAAAGUUGUGGGUAGCACCACUAUCAAUCAUGACUACAAACUCCUGUUGGCCAAACUUGCCUCGCACCUUAGUUGUAGUGGGAGUAUCUACGCCCAGAAAUGCAUUCAACGACAACUCCGCUUGGCACUGCCCAUAAUCCAUCUCAGACCACUCUCCAUCCAACACGCCCUCAUCCAAAAUCUCCACCUCAAACCCGUUAAUCACCGUCAAGAUUUGCAACUCCUUCAUAGGACAGGUAUGAGGCUUCACGUACGGACCCUUACACUUGAAACAAAUCCCGUCUCUCCUCAUCUUAUCCAGCUCCGCGUCUGUGUACUUCUGUCGCGGUCGAAAAGCAGUACCAGAAGUGGAACCUUUUUCAAAGCCACCUUGCGUUUUGGUCCCUACACUCGACCAAGGCUUAUAAGUACCUCCUGACGAACUCUUACGAGAGUGAGAGUCCUGAACCGCCGUGCUAACGGAACGACAAAAAGCACUUCCUUCCAUACCCACCACCGCAGUAAUGUGCUCCGUCAGCCCCUUAGGUUCCUUCAUCUUGAUCACCUCCUGCAUCUCUGGCUUCAACCCGUUGUAAAAGAUAUGCUCCAAAUUACGUUCAUCAAUACCAGUCACAAUCGAGCGAAGCUCCUCAAACUCAUUCACAUAGUCCAUAAUAGAUCCUGUCUGUUUCAACGCAAACAAACGCUUCCCGGGUUCAUCCUCCAAACGUUGGCGAAAGCGAGCCACCAAACGUCUUUUGAACUGCAGCCAAUCAGUAAACGGAUCGUUAUCCAUCUCCGCGUUGAACCAGUUGAGCACAGGUCCCUCCAAACUCAUCGAAACAAACUGCAAUCGCUCUCUACCAUGGAAAUUGCCAAGACGAAAAUAACGCUCCACGCGAGCCAACCAUUCAAACGGACUCGAUCCAGAGAAUACCGGCAUGUCAAUCUUCUUCAGAAGACUCUCCCGUGUUUCGAAAACCGACGGAGGAAGUUGAAACGCCGGCGGAGCGGUAGUGGUCCGCGUCGACGAGAACAUCGCUGGUGUUUGUGGCUCCGUCGAUUCGAUCGCUUUACCCCUAGCCUUCUCCGACUGCUGAUUUGUGAGCAGCUGAGUUAGACGAUCGAAGCGAAGAUCCAACGCAUCGAAACGCGCAUCAUACGACGAUAAUCUCGCCUCCACCGAUUGAAAAUGUUCCGCUGUCACCUUCGCGUGAAUCUGCAACCUCUCACACUCCGAGUGAAGAAACGAGAGCUCGUAGCUCGUCGCCAUCUUCGAAUCUCCAAAAUCACCCGAUCCAUCAACACAAUCAUCCAUAGACGCCAUAGAGAGCUCGAUCUGUCACAAUCGCACCAAUUUGAUAAGUUUAGACUUAUCUUCUUCUCCACACAAUCUGUAAAACUCCAAUAUAAUCCCAGUAUAACAAAAGUAUCUUCUCUCAAUAACAAACUCGAAUCCAACUCUCGAAAUACAAGUGUUUUCCUGAGAAAGCUACGAUCUCAUAACGAUCGUAGGGAAGGUCUCAUCACGACUCUUCACAACAAACUCAGCAUAAAAGAAAAUAUGAUCGCAACAACAAUCCUUUAUUUAACUUGAAAAACAAUCCUUCAGCAAAGCCUCUGUCUCACUCCGCGGCUUUGCUUCCUCUCUGUUUCUCCAAACCUUCUACUUCUCCUCGAAUCUCUGAACUCUGUAAUUCUUCCUUCUCGCCCACGUCUACUUCCUCUCCAUUUCCCUCCCAUUUCUUCUUCUCCU
rnacentral:lncRNA from 1 species